rnacentral:sRNA from 1 species
CAUAUCAAUAAGCGGAGGAAAAGAAACCAACAGGGAUUGCCCUAGUAACGGCGAGUGAAGCGGCAACAGCUCAAAUUUGAAAUCUGGCUCUCUUUGGGGGUCCGAGUUGUAAUUUGCAGAGGAUGCUUUGGCAUUGGCGGCGGUCUAAGUUCCUUGGAACAGGACAUCGCAGAGGGUGAGAAUCCCGUACGUGGGCGCCUGCCUUUGCCGUGUAAAGCUCCUUCGACGAGUCGAGUUGUUUGGGAAUGCAGCUCUAAAUGGGAGGUAAAUUUCUUCUAAAGCUAAAUACCGGCCAGAGACCGAUAGCGCACAAGUAGAGUGAUCGAAAGAUGAAAAGUACUUUGGAAAGAGAGUCAAAAAGCACGUGAAAUUGUUGAAAGGGAAGCGCUUGCAGCCAGACUUGCCCGCAGUUGCUCACCUAGGCUUUGGCCUGGGGCACUCUUCUGCGGGCAGGCCAGCAUCAGUUUGGGCGGUCGGACAAAGGCCUCUGUCAAGUAUCUCCCUUCGGGGUGACCUUAUAGGGGAGGCGUAAUGCGACCAGCCCGGACUGAGGUCCGCGCAUCUGCUAGGAUGCUGGCGUAAUGGCUGUAAGCGGCCCGUCUUGAAACACGGG